CUACGGGUCGCUGCAGUGGGGAAUAUUGGACAAUGGGGGAAACCCUGAUCCAGCAAUGCCGCGUGUGUGAAGAAGGCCUGCGGGUUGUAAAGCACUUUCGGUUGGGAGGACUGCUUCUAGCACUAAUAUUGUUGGAAGUUGACGUUACCUUCAGAAGAAGCACCGGCUAACUCCGUGCCAGCAGCCGCGGGUAAUACGGAGGGUGCAAGCGUUAACCGGAAUUACUGGGCGUAAAGCGCGCGUAGGCGGCUAGAUCAGUCGGGUGUGAAAGCCCCGGGCUUAACCUGGGAACUGCAUCCGAUACUGUCUAGCUUGAGUACAGGAGAGGAGAGUGGAAUUCCACAUGUAGCGGUGAAAUGCGUAGAUAUGUGGAGGAACACCAAUGGCGAAGGCAGCUCUCUGGCCUGAUACUGACGCUGAGGUGCGAAAGCGUGGGGAGCAAACAGGAUUAGAUACCCUCGUAGUC
rnacentral:rRNA from 1 species